AGUGACUCAAAGUUCACCGUUAGCUACCUGGCUGCUGUCCUCAGCAAGUGAUGUAAGCAGAGCAAUUUGGCAGGACCACUCUGAAUUCCUAAAUCACCACUCUGGCAGCUUCUGGUGAGCCUGGAGUCAGCUUCCACAAGAAGGCAGACAAACAUGACUGAAAGACAGCAGAGACUGAGUGCUGUUACCCAAAAGGUGUCACCUUGGGAGAAAGGUCAUGACACAUUGACACAGCAGAGUGUGGGAAACUUAUUCCAUCAUCUUGUUUGGGGAUGAGGACCGCAUGGAUGCAUGCAGAUCUGCUUUCUCUCAUUGGUGCUGCAUUUGCUCAGAUUUAAGUGAAAAAGAUGAAGAGCUUGUUCUCUAUGUUUGCCCUGUGUUAUCUUUUGUAGCAGUAGGUAUCCUGCAGACGGGAUGCUGUUAACUCUUCAGCUGCCUUUCUCUAUCGUAAUCUGCAAAGGAAACAGAAUUAAAAUUUGCAGGGACACAACAGCGUUGCAAUGAGGAAAUACUACGUGAAUCACCACUUCAUCAUAAGGCAGCAUCCCGUGGACUGCAACAUUCAGAAACUUGGAAUUUUUUAGAGUAUUUAUAAAAUGCUGUACCCACCUCCCUUAUUCCAUGCUUUGAAGCUUGCCGUGUUUUUAGAGCAUAUUUAAAAGAAAACAGAACUGGAUCAGCACACUGAAAGUCACCCACAGACAACCUGUUCCACUGAUACUUUACAUUUAUACUGCAUCCUUUGUCCUGAAGGAUUUCUCUGCUUCAUUCUCAUUCCGUGUAGGCUGAUGAGACCGCUCAGGUAUCUGCAGGAGUUAGUCAGGGAACGCUGGGACAUGUGCUUCAUGUUCAGAGGCCAGUAAGGAAAAUUGGGCAUUUGUUAUUUCAUGGGUAGUGACAUCACCAUCUCAGAUCUCCUUAAGGAAAAUAACUUCCACAGCUGAAAACUAGACCUGAAAGCAAACACAAUCUGAAUUCUUAUGGCAAGGAGCUGGAGCGUGCUGUACUUCACAAUGGGUCAUUACUGCUUGCUAUUCCUUCCGUGUUUUGCAUUUACCAUGCUGCACUUCAAACAUUUCUAUGUGAAAUGCAUCACUUUAAAAUCUGUGGAUACAGAAGGUUCUUUCCUGCUUGUUGAAGUAAUUGAGUGAAGUGAAGGUUGAUCAUAAAAUGUAAUGAGAGGGGAAGAGAGAACUCUUAUGCUGGAAAAAGCACUAUAAAUAUUUUCCUGAGAUCAUUAACACAACCUUGUAACACUUCGCCUCGUGCAGCGGAAAGAAUUAUACAAUCAUUUUAUGAACUUUCUAAAAAGUGUUUACAAUUCCAUCCCAAAUAUAUAUGGCUUUUUUUUUUUUUUAAAGCAGAAAAAAAAAAAAAAACCAGCAACCUAUAAUUCUUAAUUCUGCUAUCAAAGUUAUUUCCAGCCUUUGAAGGGAUUCACUUCGCAGGGCCUCGGCAGCGUCAAACAAAUGUUCGACUUUUAUUCUGACACUUCUUGAAGAAUUUGAUUGAAACUAUAUAUGUCGAGAUAACACCCAACAAAGUGCCCCUCUUGCGUUUGUUUCAAGAUAUUUUUGGAAGCAACAGAGACGACCUUGGAUGGAGCUGCUUUUCCAAUUUAGGACUUCAUUUGGUCUAAGAGAGUAAAAUUAUACUCUUCGGUCCUUUUGUGUACCCACAAACAAAACAGUGUUGUUACCUUCUGCUAUUGUAAAAUUGUUUUUCUGUACCUUGUUAGCAGUGUCAAUCUGUUGAGGAUAAGAACUGUUUUAGGUAAUCCACAGUUACAUUCAAACACACAUAUAAAUAGUCCUCCAGUGUAUCACAUGUCCCUGUAAAACAUUGUGCAAUCCAAACGAACAGUGGUCCUUUAUGUAAUGCCUUUCUUUCUUUAUAACUAGUGUUAAUAAAUAAGCUUUAGCCUUUGUCUUUGCUUAUAGACAUCAAGAAUCUGAUUUCAAGCCAGGGCUCACACAGACUUGAUGUAAAGUCUAAAUGAGGAGAGUGGUAAUGCUGGCGAAUGCGCUGCGAUGGGACCGCCACCUGUCUGGAUUGCAGGAGAUAUAUUGUUUGUCAAGCUUCAAGUUUAAAUCCAAGUAACUGUGGACAGCUGACGGGAAGCAACUGUGAAUCGAUCCUGGGAAUGAACAUGUAUUUGAGUCAUUUGGCUGGUUUAUGUCUCCUGUGUAGAGGUGUAGCUUCACAAAAUGCCUACUGCCUGCAGGAAGAACUCCCUCCGAACAGAUUCUCUACCUGAGCAUCAGGGAAGGAAAUAAAUCUGGAACUGGUGACAUUUCAAGGACAAGGAAAACAACCGCUCGGAGAAUUAUCUGAUUCCGUUGGUGUUUAUUUUUACUUAUAUCUAGCAAUCUGCGCUCCAACAGAAGAUGCUUAUUUGCAGAAAAGAAGGCUGUCUCCUGUCUGGACUGGUGCCUGGUCUGGAGAAAAGAUGGCACUAAGGACAAGAGCAACUUCCAACUGCCUGUACCCAUAAAAUGGUGGAAAAUAAAGGGACUGAAAGCAGCAUGAAGGGACGUAAGAGUCUGGAAAAGAACAUCUAUUUUCUCCACAGUGAAGCAAGUUUUAAUCCAAGUUUUGUUUUACUACUCCAUUGAAGACAACAUACUUGUACAAGACUGGUUCUGUCUCCAUAAAUAUCUAUGAAGCAGGAAAGGAAUUUGAAUUUAUAGUGCCCUUAGAGACGGAUACAAUGGCACUAUUAAUCCACAGUAAUUACUGCCCUACCUUGUAGCUGGUAGUUUCUAGGACUUGUCAUGAGCCUGCUGAGCACGAGACUAACUCUCUUGUACCUGGUUAGUAUAGAGACAGUGUGCACUACGUGUUCAACAGAGUGCAAGGUAAGCUCUGAAUGCCAGAAUUCAUUUUUGUGAUUCAAGAAUCACAAAAAGAAAAUCAUCCAAAGUAACUGACUUAAGUAUUAAUACUCUGAGAAAUGGAACUGUGUGGUACAUUUGUGUGUCCAACUUGAGGCACUGUUCUCCUGAAUGCCAGAGACUGCUGACUGCUGGCUUCAAAACCAAAGCAACCUCUCUGCUCUGGAAGUGUGGCCUGAGCUCUAUAGCAAAAUAAUGCAACUUUUAUUGCCUACAGACAAUAUGCAGCAUGACCACAACAGUUAGCCAUCAACUCGUUAC
ensembl:lncRNA